rnacentral:ncRNA from 1 species
UUCUGCGAAACCUAUGUAAGUAGGUAGUUCAAGUUAAAUCAUAGCAGGUACAGAACUGUGAUCUCAGGCAACUUAUAAUUUCUUAUCUAGGCGUUGCCUAGAUAAGAAAUAAUUUUGCAUAUAUCGGGGAAUCGUGAGGAUUUUAUCGGUGAGUAUUCGCACUCGGAAGGGCAAUGAUGAAGAUUAAAAUGUAUUGAAUAAUCGGACAUAGUACGAUAAGGUUGUAUGUCUAAAGGGAAACAGCCCAGAACAAGAGUUAAGGUUCCAAAAUUAUUGUUAAGUGAAACUAAGGAAGUUUCUAUCUAAUACAACUAGGAAAUAGGCUUAGAAGCGGCUAUUUUUUGAAGACCUCGUAACAGAGCACUGGUUUAGUAAACAAAAUUUACAUUGAUAGUUGCACCGAAAAUUUAACGGAUCUAAACAGUAUACCGACACCUUGUCCAUAUUGUUAAAUAUGAUUUAUAAUUUAACUAUGGGGUAGCAGAA